rnacentral:rRNA from 1 species
AUUGAACGCUGGCGGCAUGCUUUACACAUGCAAGUCGAACGGCAGCGGGGGCUUCGGCCCGCCGGCGAGUGGCGAACGGGUGAGUAAUGCAUCGGAACGUGCCCAGUCGUGGGGGAUAACACAUCGAAAGAUGUGCUAAUACCGCAUACGUCCUGAGGGAGAAAGCGGGGGAUCUUCGGACCUCGCGCGAUUGGAGCGGCCGAUGUCGGAUUAGCUAGUUGGUGGGGUAAAAGCCCACCAAGGCGACGAUCCGUAGCGGGUCUGAGAGGAUGAUCAGCCACACUGGGACUGAGACACGGCCCAGACUCCUACGGGAGGCAGCAGUGGGGAAUAUUGGACAAUGGGCGCAAGCCUGAUCCAGCCAUGCCGCGUGAGUGAUGAAGGCCUUAGGGUUGUAAAGCUCUUUCGCCGGUGAAGAUAAUGACGGUAACCGGUAAAGAAGCCCCGGCUAACUUCGUGCCAGCAGCCGCGGUAAGUACUGA